rnacentral:SRP_RNA from 1 species
ACCAGGUGUAGUGGUGCACACCUGUAAUCCCAGCAGCUUGGGAGGCUGAGACUGGUGGAUUACAAGUUCAGAGCCACUUCAGCAGAAAUAAGCGAGGUGCUAAAGCAGGACAGUGAAACCCUGUCUCAA